ACAUCCACCUUAGUUGACUCAACUCCAAUAUCCAGACAUCUACCUUAGUUGACUCAACUCCAAUAUUAAGACAUCCACCUUAGUUGACUUAAUUCCAAUAUCAAGACAUCCACCUUAGUUGAUUGACAUUCAUUUAGUAUCACUAGCUACAAAGCAAAGAGGAUAGCUGACAAUAUGCCAAACAUACUCCUGCCCUAAGUGUAAUCAGUUUUUCAAAGCAAAACUUGGACUCCACUGCUAUUUAUGAGUUCAUAUUUGACCAUGAUGGAGGAGCUUUUUAUAUUUGUCCAUCUCUUAACUGUGAAUUUUCUAUUCAACACUUUGUGUAAAUAUUUGUUGUUUUAAACUUAGUAGAAUGUCAUGUACACAUUAUUUUGUAAUUAAAAGAUGUAACUUGUAACAUAGCCUUCAUUUUUUUUUGUAAGCCUGAUGAUUCUAUUAUGAUACUGUAUUCUGUGUCCUUCUAUAGCAUGACAAGUGCACCUUGGGACAAUGUCUGUGGAUAUGUAGAGGUAGAGGGUAUCUGGGAGAAGAUUUUUGAACCAUUAAACAUUGAGGAA